UACAGAGGUCUCAAGCGUUGUUCGGAUUCAUUGGGCGUAAAGGGUGCGUAGGCGGCGCGGUAAGUCGGGGUGUGAAAUUUCGAGGCUUAACUUCGAAACUGCAUUCGAUACUGCCGUGCUUGAGGACUGGAGAGGAGACUGGAAUUUACGGUGUAGCGGUGAAAUGCGUAGAUAUCGUAAGGAAGACCAGUGGCGAAGGCGGGGUCUCUGGACAGUUCCUGACGCUG
rnacentral:rRNA from 1 species